AUAAUAGUGUUGAUACAGAUUAGUAAGCAAUUUGAUUCCUUCAGAGAGAGGGUGGCUGGUGAAAGCCCUCGGAUAGAAUGCUGAAGCUGCUGUGGAGCAUCCAAAAGACGGAGCAGCCGUUAUCCUGCACUGACAUAGUCAAUCGAGUGGCCGUUAUAUGGCAACUAGGGUGGUACCGCGAAAUACUCUUCGUCCCUAUU
rnacentral:ncRNA from 1 species